rnacentral:snRNA from 1 species
GGAUGUGAGGGCGAUCUGGCUGUGACACCUGUCACGCCAUUGAUCACCAGGGUUGAUUUCACUGAUCUGGCUGGCUAGGAGGGUGUUUCCUUGCGUACCUCAGCGCUCCACGUGAGUCCCGUAGGAAGCUCCGCGCUCCAUCGGAGGACGACCGCCCAUGAUAGAGUAGGACUGUUCCUUGCUCAAGGGUAUAUGAGUAGCUCUGCUGCCCUGCUAGAACCUCCAAACAAAGAGGACAUCAGAAAAUGCAAAGAUAUCUUCUGUUUGCAUAGGCAGAACUAUUGUUGGCAAAAUGGCCAUGACACCAAAACU